UUGCUCUGGCUCAGUAACAGUUCUUGCAGCAGCAGCAGCAGCAGCUCUGGCUGGAGCCCAGGCCAGAGCUGCCACCACCACUGCCGCUAUGGAGUUGAGGAAGGGGGGUGUUGGUAGGCACUGGCGGGAGGGAGGGCAGGUGCCAGGGAGUACAGGCAUGAGGGGGUAGGGGUUAAAUUCAGUGUCAUCUUGGAUUUGAGUAAAUACAGUAGACAGAGAUGAGAGGGAUCAGAAAUUUCUGUUUUAGUUACUUGUGAAAUAGAAGUGUAUGUUUGGCCAAACAUUUACGAGUAUGUCAAGAGUGUGAAUUCAGUCUUCAUUAGGAUCAUUUUAGUAGUGACUUAAUGAAUGAAUAUUUGGCUUUUCACAGGGACAAGAAGAAAGAUAAAGAGAAGGUCAAGGAAAAAGAAAAGGUCAAAGAAAAGGACAAAGAGAGAGAGAGGGACAAAGAGAAGGAGAGAGACAGAGAGAAAGAAAGGGAGAGAGAGAGAGACAAAGAGCGAAGUAGGGACAAGGACAGGGACAGAGACAAGGACAAAGAUAGGGGCAGAGACAGAGAGAGAAACAAGGACCGGGAAAGAGUUAAGGAGAAGGACAGGGACAAGGAGAAAGAUAGGGAUAGAGAGAAGGACAAGGAGGUAGAUCAAGACAGAGAGAAGGAAGCAAAACUGGAGAAAGAGGGGGAUAAGGAUAGAGAAAAAGUGAAGGACAAGGAGGGGGACAAAGACAAGGACAAAGGAGGGAACAAGGAGAAGGACAAAGAAAAAGAGAAGGACAAGGAUGGGGACAAAGAAAAGGACAAGGAGAAGGAUCGUGAGAGAGAAAAAGAGAGGGAUGAUAAAAAGAAGAAAGAUAAGAGAUCCCGAACACCCCCCAGAAGUUAUAGUUCAUCAAGAAGAUCUCGCAGUUCCAGCAGAGAAAGGCGUAAGAGGAAAAGCAGAAGUCCUUCCAAAUCUCCAAAAACAUCCAAAACAACGAAGAGAAAGUCUUCCCGGUCUCCCUCACCAAGAAGGUGAGGUUUUUUUAUUCAAAUAUAAAAUGUAAAUCUGCAGCAAAGGAAGGAAAAUCUCUAAUGACCUUUUUCUGAACUAAAAUUUGG
rnacentral:lncRNA from 1 species